GGGCUUGUGGGGUAGUCUGGACUAUCCUGUCGGCCUUCGAAGCCGACGACCUGGGUUCGAAUCCGCCCGCCUC
rnacentral:tRNA from 1 species